ACCCAGCUGACGGGUCCCAAAUAGGACGAAGUUCUUAUCCUGGAU
rnacentral:hammerhead_ribozyme from 1 species